rnacentral:rRNA from 1 species
UGCAGUCGAGGGGUAACAGAGGAGCUUGCUCUUGCUGACGACCGGCGCACGGGUGCGUAACGCGUAUACAAUCUGCCUUACACUAAGGGAUAGCCCAGAGAAAUUUGGAUUAACACCUUAUAGUUUAUUUUUAUGGCAUCAUUUAAAUAAUAAAGUUUACGGUGUAAGAUGAGUAUGCGUCCCAUUAGUUUGUUGGUAAGGUAACGGCUUACCAAGACUACGAUGGGUAGGGGCCCUGAGAGGGGGAUCCCCCACACUGGUACUGAGACACGGACCAGACUCCUACGGGAGGCAGCAGUGAGGAAUAUUGGACAAUGGAGGAGACUCUGAUCCAGCCAUGCCGCGUGCAGGAAGACGGUCCUAUGGAUUGUAAACUGCUUUUAUACAGGAAGAAUAAGGACUACGUGUAGUCUGGUGACGGUACUGUAAGAAUAAGGACCGGCUAACUCCGUGCCAGCAGCCGCGGUAAUACGGAGGGUCCGAGCGUUAUCCGGAAUUAUUGGGUUUAAAGGGUCCGUAGGCGGGCUGUUAAGUCAGGGGUGAAAGUUUGCAGCUCAACUGUAGAAUUGCCUUUGAUACUGAUGGUCUUGAAUUAUUGUGAAGUGGUUAGAAUAUGUAGUGUAGCGGUGAAAUGCAUAGAUAUUACAUAGAAUACCGAUUGCGAAGGCAGAUCACUAACAAUUGAUUGACGCUGAUGGACGAAAGCGUGGGUAGCGAACAGGAUUAGAUACCCUGGUAGUCCACGCCGUAAACGAUGGAUACUAGCUGUUUGGAUUUCGAUCUGAGCGGCCAAGCGAAAGUGAUAAGUAUCCCACCUGGGGAGUACGUUCGCAAGAAUGAAACUC